rnacentral:lncRNA from 1 species
CUGCUCCUAGUGGCCCUGGUGGCAAAGCUUAUUGCACCUUCCCCAAGAUCUUGCUCUCUGCAGACAGCUGGGUCCCGGAGGCAGUCCUGCUCACUUCCUGCAAGCCUUAAAGGGAGGGCCCAGAACUGUACUAGAACAGCUGCUUUGAGAGACCAGGAAGUUUCCAUUGUACUGGACCACACAGCUAUCACAAGGAUCCUGGCCACAGCAGCCCACCCAGAAGACCCUCAGUCAGGGAGAAGAAGGCACUUGGGUCCAGGCUGUCUCCACCAGGACAGAGUGCUCCAUGUGUCCAGGGGGGUCUCAGAAAACUCUGGAGUAAACAAAGCAAUGUCAGGACACCUUCCCCAGCCUGUCGGAGACACCAGUGGCAAAGACCCCUACCCAGAGACCCGUGGAGCCCACGCUGCACUCCCCAGGCUGUCCGCCGAGUGGCCAGCCCUCACCCCUCCCCUUGCAGCAGAGCCUGAGCAGAUGGUUCCGAGUCACUCCAGUGGAAAUUAAUGGAGUCAGACUGUCCACACACUUCUUUUCAACCAUAGAGAAAUAUUUUCCAUGAGUCAAACACCAGAUGUAUUUUGUUUAUGGGGUAAUUUAGCACUUGUGAGGGGUAAGACACUAAAAUCAGAGAAGAGUUGUGUUUGUGUUUCAGGCAGAGACCAAACACACUCCACCCGCUCACAGAAAAACUGUGGGCAUCACUUCUGGAGCCUGGACCUUGAACUCAGCACAUCACUUCUGAAGCAACUCUGUGUCUUUUCCCCGGGGUUCAGUUUGUGACCACGCUGGCUGAACUAGCAGGAACCCUUGAGAUGGGGGAACACAGGGGAGGUGAGAGAAAAGGAUGGGGCAUCAUCACUAAAGGACUGAUAAGAUUCUUUGGAGGUCCAAGAAUAGCCAACCUUAACUAAAUCAGCCUUCACUGGAAUGGUAGUCACAAAAUUCUCUAAACCAGCAGUUAUCAAGUAGGGCCUCUGGCCUUCAAAGGGGAAUGUGUUAGAAAUGCAACUUCCUGGGCCUUUCCUCGGGUCCACUGAACCAAAAUCUUCAGGGACAGGUGGCGCCCAGCAAUCUGUUUUAAUGUGCCCUCGAGGGGAGUCUGAAGCUCACUGGAGUUAGAGAAUCAUUGCUCCAACAAACACCUGAGGCACGCUUUUACUUCGUAUCUAGCUAUUAGUUUCACAUGCAUUAGUUUAAUCUUUCUGUAACUCAGUUUUCUCAUCGGUAAAAUGGAACAAUGACAGUGUGUAGUUUAAUUUAUCGCAGAAAUUAAAUGAAGGAAUUCAUCUAAAGCAUUUAAGACCAGAACUUGCCUAGUAUAAUGCAGCAAACAUUUGUCACCAUCGUCAUUAUGUGCCCUUGUAUUUGAAGCUCACUGUGACAAUAGGUGGUGACGUUAAUAGCCACCACACUUCAUGCAUUUCUGUGCCAGGCACUGUUACAGGAUUUGAUAUGCAAAUAGAUGACCGUCACAUUGACUGUAAAGAGUCAUUUGAGUGGUAUUCAUUACCUCCAUUCACUCAUCCUAUUCAUUCAUCCGACAAACGUGAACCGAGCCCUACUAUGUCCUAGGGACUGUUGGAGGCACAGGGAUGANNNNNNNNNNNNNNNNNNNNNNNNNNNNNNNNNNNNNNNNNNNNNNNNNNNNNNNNNNNNNNNNNNNNNNNNNNNNNNNNNNNNNNNNNNNNNNNNNNNCUAGGGACUGUUGGAGGCACAGGGAUGAAAGCAGACAAAUGAAUCAGCACUUUUAAUUAAAAUCAUUGUUCCUGUCUCAAAGUUUCCUUCCAAGGUUUCCCCUGGGGACCCCAGGACCACCCCCUUGACUCCUGCCCCAGUUGCCACCUCUGCUCAGAGCCUGCCUCCGCCUCCUGCCUCCUCUGAAUCCGCCAAUCUCCCUCCACACCUGCUGCACCCUCACGCCAGAACACCAACAGCACUUGUUCCAGGCUUUGGCCACCUGUGCUCACCUCCUUUAUGCUGCUCAGGAGCGCCUCCCUCAGGACCUGACUUCCUUCUUAAGAGGGGCCCCAGGCAGUUCUGUUUGACCCCAGGAGCAGCAAAACUAUUCUUAUUUUCCAAACGACGGUUUUAGCCAUGUCCAUGCCAUGCACGUGCCAGAGCAGGGCAUAUUCAAUUAGUUAAAGUGUAUUAGGGUAUUAGGAUUAACAACUAGAGGGUAACCUGUAUACACACAUGGGAAAAUUUUAGAACUUUCAGCCUCGUUCAUUCUCCGCGUGACAUGAUCCUAAGGU